rnacentral:rRNA from 1 species
CGAACGCUGGCGGCACGCUUAACACAUGCAAGUCGAACGAAGAUGUUUCACCGUAGCUUGCUACACCGAGACAUUUUAGUGGCGGACGGGUGAGUAACACGUGAGCAAUCUGCCUUUCAGAGGGGGAUACCAGUUGGAAACGACUGUUAAUACCGCAUAACAUAUCGAGAUCGCAUGAUAUUGAUAUCAAAGAUUUAUCGCUGAAAGAUGAGCUCGCGUCUGAUUAGAUAGUUGGUGAGGUAACGGCUCACCAAGUCGACGAUCAGUAGCCGGACUGAGAGGUUGGACGGCCACAUUGGGACUGAGACACGGCCCAGACUCCUACGGGAGGCAGCAGUGGGGAAUAUUGCACAAUGGGCGCAAGCCUGAUGCAGCGAUGCCGCGUGAGGGAAGAAGGUUUCAGGAUUGUAAACCUCUGUCUUCAGGGACGAUAAUGACGGUACCUGAGGAGGAAGCUCCGGCUAACUACGUG